rnacentral:rRNA from 1 species
AUGCRGCUCGGANNASMUASCGCCCKGCUUUUGUGGGGUGCUCGAGUGGCGAACGGGUGAGUAACACGUGAGUAACCUGCCCUUGACUUUGGGAUAACUUCAGGAAACUGGGGCUAAUACCGGAUAGGAGCUCCUGCUGCAUGGUGGGGGUUGGAAAGUUUCGGCGGUUGGGGAUGGACUCGCGGCUUAUCAGCUUGUUGGUGGGGUAGUGGCUUACCAAGGCUUUGACGGGUAGCCGGCCUGAGAGGGUGACCGGCCACAUUGGGACUGAGAUACGGCCCAGACUCCUACGGGAGGCAGCAGUGGGGAAUAUUGCACAAUGGGCGGAAGCCUGAUGCAGCAACGCCGCGUGCGGGAUGACGGCCUUCGGGUUGUAAACCGCUUUCGCCUGUGACGAAGCGUGAGUGACGGUAAUGGGUAAAGAAGCACCGGCUAACUACGUGCCAGCAGCCGCGGUGAUACGUAGGGUGCGAGCGUUGUCCGGAUUUAUUGGGCGUAAAGGGCUCGUAGGUGGUUGAUCGCGUCGGAAGUGUAAUCUUGGGGCUUAACCCUGAGCGUGCUUUCGAUACGGGUUGACUUGAGGAAGGUAGGGGAGAAUGGAAUUCCUGGUGGAGCGGUGGAAUGCGCAGAUAUCAGGAGGAACACCAGUGGCGAAGGCGGUUCUCUGGGCCUUUCCUGACGCUGAGGAGCGAAAGCGUGGGGAGCGAACAGGCUUAGAUACCCUGGUAGUCCACGCUGUAAACGGUGGGUACUAGGUGUGGGGUCCAUUCCACGGGUUCCGUGCCGUAGCUAACGCUUUAAGUACCCCGCCUGGGGAGUACGGCCGCAAGGCUAAAACUCAAAGGAAUUGACGGGGCCCCGCACAAGCGGCGGAGCAUGCGGAUUAAUUCGAUGCAACGCGUAGAACCUUACCUGGGUUUGACAUGGAUCGGGAGUGCUCAGAGAUGGGUGUGCCUCUUUUGGGGUCGGUUCCAAGGUGGUGCAUGGCUGUCGUCAGCUCGUGUCGUGAGAUGUUGGGUUAAGUCCCGCAACGAGCGCAACCCUUGUUCACUGUUGCCAGCACGUUAUGGUGGGGACUCAUUGGAGACCGCCGGGGUCAACUCGGAGGAAGGUGGGGAUGA